CGGCGGACGGGUGAGUAACGCGUGGGUAACCUGCCUCAUACAGGGGGAUAACAGUUAGAAAUGACUGCUAAUACCGCAUAAGACCACAGCACCGCAUGGUGCAGGGGUAAAAACUCCGGUGGUAUGAGAUGGACCCGCGUCUGAUUAGUUAGUUGGUGGGGUAACGGCCUACCAAGGCGACGAUCAGUAGCCGACCUGAGAGGGUGACCGGCCACAUUGGGACUGAGACACGGCCCAAACUCCUACGGGAGGCAGCAUG
rnacentral:rRNA from 1 species